UUACGGGAGGCAGCAGUGAGGAAUUUUGCGCAAUGGCCGCAAGGCUGACGCAGCAACGCCGCGUGGGUGAAGAAGGCCUUCGGGUCGUAAAGCCCUGUCAGGUGGGAAGAAUGAGCGGGGGGUAAAUAGCUCCCCGCUGUGACGGUACCACCAAAGGAAGCACCGGCUAACUCCGUGCCAGCAGCCGCGGUAAUACGGAGGGUGCAAGCGUUAUUCGGAAUUACUGGGCGUAAAGCGCGUGCAGGCGGGCGAGCAAGUCUGAUGUGAAAGCCCCGGGCUUAACCUGGGAAGUGCAUUGGAAACUGUUCGUCUUGAGUCCUGGAGAGGAAGGGGGAAUUCCCGGUGUAGAGGUGAAAUUCGUAGAGAUCGGGAGGAAUACCAGUGGCGAAGGCGCCCUUCUGGACAGUGACUGACGCUGAGACGCGAAAGCGUGGGGAGCAAACAGGAUUAGAUACCCCGGU
rnacentral:rRNA from 1 species